ACUGCUCAGUAACACGUGGAUAACCUGCCCUUGGGUCUGGGAUAACCCCGGGAAACUGGGGAUAAUACCGGAUAACGCAUAUGUGCUGGAAUGCUUUAUGCGUAAAACGGAUUCGUCCGCCCAAGGAUGGGUCUGCGGCCUAUCAGGUAGUAGUGGGUGUAGCGUACCUACUAGCCUACGACGGGUACGGGUUGUGAGAGCAAGAGCCCGGAGAUGGAUUCUGAGACAUGAAUCCAGGCCCUACGGGGCGCAGCAGGCGCGAAAACUUUACAAUGCGGGAAACCGUGAUAAGGGAACACCGAGUGCCAGCAUCAUAUGCUGGCUGUCCAGAUGUGUAAACUACAUCUGUUAGCAAGGGCCGGGCAAGACCGGUGCCAGCCGCCGCGGUAACACCGGCGGCCCGAGUGGUGACCGUUAUUAUUGGGUCUAAAGGGUCCGUAGCCGGUUUGGUCAGUCCUCCGGGAAAUCUGAUAGCUUAACUAUUAGGCUUUCGGGGGAUACUGCCAGGCUUGGAACCGGGAGAGGUAAGAGGUACUACAGGGGUAGGAGUGAAAUCUUGUAAUCCCUGUGAGACCACCUGUGGCGAAGGCGUCUUACCAGAACGGGUUCGACGGUGAGGGACGAAAGCUGGGGGCACGAACCGGAUUAGGUACCCGGGUAGUCCCAGCCGUAAACUAUGCUCGCUAGGUGUCAGGCAUGGCGCGACCGUGUCUGGUGCCGCAGGGAAGCCGUGAAGCGAGCCACCUGGGAAGUACGGCCGCAAGGCUGAAACUUAAAGGAAUUGGCGGGGGAGCAC
rnacentral:rRNA from 1 species